ensembl:lncRNA
AUGGAGGAUAGAGAGAGAGAGGAUGGAGGGAGAGAGGAUGGAGGAUGGAGGGAGAGAGAAUGGAGGAUAGAGAGAGAGAGGAUGGAGGAUGAGAUGAUGGAGGGAGAGAGGAUGGAGGAUAGAGAGAGAGAGGAUGGAGGGAGAGAGGAUGGAGGAUGGAGGGAGAGAGGAUGGAGGGAGAGAGGAUGGAGGGAGAGAGGAUGGAGGAUGGAGGGAGAGAGGAUGGAGGGAGAGAGGAUAGAGGGAGAGAGGAUAGAGGGAGAGAGGAUGGAGGGAGAGAGGAUGGAGGGAGAGGGGAUGGAGGGAG